GCGGCGUGCGUAAUACAUGCAAGUCGAGCGGACCUUCGGGUCAGCGGCGGACGGGUGAGGAACACGUGAGUGAUCUAUCGAUGAGUGGGGGAUAUCGGGCCGAAAGGCGCGGCAAUCCCGCAUACGUUCCUACGGGAAGAAAGCUGGGCAACUGGCGCUCAUUGCGGAGCUCGCGGCCCAUUAGCUAGUUGGGGGGGUAACGGCCUCCCAAGGCGACGAUGGGUAGUCGGCCUGAGAGGGUGAACGGCCACACUGGGACUGAGACACGGCCCAGACUCCUACGGGAGGCAGCAGUAGGGAAUCUUCCACAAUGGGCGC
rnacentral:rRNA from 1 species